rnacentral:rRNA from 1 species
AUGAACGCUGGCGGCGUGCUUAACACAUGCAAGUCGAACGGAAAGGCCCAAGCUUGCUUGGGUGCUCGAGUGGCGAACGGGUGAGUAACACGUGGGUGAUCUGCCCUGCACUUUGGGAUAAGCCUGGGAAACUGGGUCUAAUACCGGAUAGGACCAUCGUUUAGUGUCGGUGGUGGAAAGUUUUUCGGUGUGGGAUGAGCUCGCGGCCUAUCAGCUUGUUGGUGGGGUAAUGGCCUACCAAGGCGUCGACGGGUAGCCGGCCUGAGAGGGUGUACGGCCACAUUGGGACUGAGAUACGGCCCAGACUCCUACGGGAGGCAGCAGUGGGGAAUAUUGCACAAUGGGCGCAAGCCUGAUACAGCGACGCCGCGUGGGGGAUGACGGCCUUCGGGUUGUAAACUCCUUUCGCCAAGGACGAAGCGUUUUGUGACGGUACUUGGAGAAGAAGCACCGGCUAACUACGUG